UGGGUUGUGGCUCAGUGGUAGAGCACUCACCUAGGGCAUGUGAGGCCCUGGGUUCAAUCCUCAGCACCACGU
rnacentral:tRNA from 1 species